UACGUAGGUGGCAAGCGUUGUCCGGAUUUACUGGGCGUAAAGGGCGUGCAGGCGGUUUGUUAAGUGCAGAGUGAAAGCUCCCGGCUCAACUGGGAGAGGUCUUUGCAUACUGGCAAACUCGAGGGAGGCAGAGGAAAGUGGAAUUCCCAGUGUAGAGGUGAAAUUCGUAGAUAUUGGGAAGAACACCAAUGGCGAAAGCAGCUCUCUGGGACGGUACUGACGCUGAGGAGCGAAAGCAUGGGGAGCGAACAGG
rnacentral:rRNA from 1 species